GUAGGGGGCUAGCGUUGUCCGGAAUCAUUGGGCGUAAAGCGCGCGUAGGCGGCGCGGUAAGUCCGCUGUAAAAGUCAAAGGCUUAACCUUUGAAUGUCAGUGGAUACUGCCGAGCUAGAGUCCGGAAGAGGCGAGUGGAAUUCCUGGUGUAGCGGUGGAAUGCGCAGAUAUCAGGAGGAACACCAACGGCGAAGGCAGCUCGCUGGGACGGUACUGACGCUGAGGUGCGAAAGCGUGGGGAGCGAACAGGAUUAGAUACCCUGGUAGUCCACGCCGUAAACGAUGGGCACUAGGUGUGGGAGGUGUCGACUCCUCCCGUGCCGGCGCUAACGCAUUAAGUGCCCCGCCUGGGGAGUACGGCCGCAAGGCUAAA
rnacentral:rRNA from 1 species